GGUUGAGGUAAAAAAGGAGAAUUCAGGUUUAACAAUGGAUGAUGCAAAUUUCCCACCAUUGUUGAGCAAGAAUUCAAAAUCAUCCAAGAACAGUCAGGCUUGGGUGAAACUGUUUAAAUGAAAAAACCUGACUUGCCGGAGAUCCCAAGUUUAUAUCGUGGAUCAGGAAUCGGCAUCUUUCAUGAUUAAUUAGGAUGAUUUGAAAGUGAUUAAUAUUGUAAAAAUUUUACAGGUUGAAGGUCAACGCCGGAGCUUCCAGGUUGGUAAGUGCGAAGCAGGAAUCGGCAUCCUGAUUGGUAAAAUGGUGAUGUAGACGUAACAUUCCUACAAGUGAUUAUUUUUAUGGCUUGAUUGCAAAUGGUAAAUCAGGGACAUUAAGUUGUACUUGAUUUACUAUAUAUGGGCAAAAGAAAAACAAGAUGAUGAGAUAACCCCGAAUCUACAAAUGAUUGUUACACAAACUAAUUUUUCCAGAAAAACCAUUCUGAUUAAAACAAACUUAAGUGUUUUGAAAUCAUUAUGGGAAAAUAGUUUGUUGUGAGGGGGAGUUCUGAUUGUUUAUGCCAGGUGGAUAGAGAAUUGAAGUGAUUCUCAUCAUGUUGUCAUUUUUGUACAGUUUGUUUCAAAUUUUCCCAGAAAAUCAAAAUUGAGACAUAUUUUGAUUUUAGGGGGAGUAAAAUUUUAAAAAAAUUAGAAAAUUUGAAAAUGUCAAAAACAUUGAAAAAUUGUAAAAAUGAGUUUUGUUGCAAAAAAGGAGGAAAUGAUAGUAAAUCAGUUGGACUAUCACAGCACGCUAAAGAAAUGUAAUGCAAAAGAUGAUAAACGAUUUCACUAAAGAUGUGAUGAUAGGCUCAGCUAGAUUAGUAGAUUUGCGAUAACGAUACAAACUUAAAUGUAAAAGCCUAGUUCUAGUGGGAAACAUGGUUGAAAGCAUAGUACUUAGUUUUGUCCUUCUUGACUGUGUGCCUACUCGGUAAUCGCUGAAUGCCAAAAAGCAUAAAAACUGGUUAAGUUUGUGAACUUUCACAACUUUGCUGAAAAGUCGCUGUGAUUGUGCAUUUCUUUUUGCAAAGAUUUAAACUUGUUUGAUUUCUUUAUUUUGUUUAAGCAUCGGACAUCCUCUGCGUAUACGGGAGUAUCGACCUGGAUGUUGUUGCCUAAACGUUCUGCUUUAUUUUCUUUGGUGUUUCGUUUAAGCUUUGGACCUCCUCUGCGUAUACGGAAGUAUCGACCUGGUGGUUAAAGCCUAAACAACUUCAACUUGUUUUAUUUUUCUUAUUUUGUUUAAACAUUGGACUUUCUCUGCGUAUACGGAAGUAUCGACCUGAUUGUUAAUGUUUAAACAUUCUGCUUUGUUUUCGCACAAAUCACAGUUGAUGAAAGUUUAAAGGCAUUACUUGAGUUAGUGUAUUGCAUGAUGAGGGGAUAUGCUGAGAUCGUGGGGUCCAUAAGAAUUUAGUGCAUAAUUAAUAUACCUUAACGUAUCGGUAAGCAUUUCGAAAGUUUUUAGAUUGAGCUUAAGUGGACAACAAUAUCGUCAAUCAACGUGAAUUGUUUAGAACUUAAAACGAUUAAAAGCUUAACGGUGCUUGUGUUAUGUCUCAAAAUCUGAUAUGAUCCUCUUGCACAAACUCACAAAAAUAUGUUUGUACAUAUUUCAUUUUCUGCAUUUAAAUUUCUGUUUUUGCAUUUAUGUUUUAUAUUUUCAAAAAACCAAAAAUAUUUUCGACAACUGAUGGUGAAGAGCUGAGUUUCAAAAUCUCAAAGGCUAAACUUGAUGAACGUACAGGUUGAAUCAGAAAUUGAAAUGUUUCAAAUUUGUGAAUCAGGGUUUAAGUGAAAAAAUUAUCAAUGCUUAGUUGGUUCAUUAAAUUGAAUCACAUUUAUUGUGGUUUGGGAGAGAGUGUUAAAUUGUGAAGAUUUGAAAUGCAAAAGUGGUUCAUUAACUUGAUGACUAUAGUUAAUGUUAAUCAACAGUUUGAUCUUCAUAAUUUUUCUUAUAUGAUUUGCUGAUUCAUUAAGUUGAAUUGCAAAUUGUAUUAGUUUGUGAUAGUGUGGUUAAGUUUUGCAGGUUUCUGAUCCUGUUGCUACGAAUAGCCAGGAGAUACAUCAGAACCAGAGAAGAGCUUAAACAGAGAAAGCCAGGAGUUGAUUUCAAUGGUGAUAACGAUUUCCAGACAGAGAUCCCAGCAUGAUGAUAGGGGGAGUCUGAUGAGAGUUAGAGCCAGAGAAUGAUCCAGGCAUAUGAUUCCAGGAGGAAAUUCCUGAAGAAAAGAGUUAAUUCCAGGCAGAGUUCCUGAAGAAGACCGAACAAGAGUGAAGAGCUAGAAAUGAUUGAAGACUCUCACUGAAGAUUCCGUCAACAUUCAAGGGGGAGUCUGUUGGUGCAGUUGUCUGUCGACUACAUCUUAGUUCGAGUCUUACGGCAGAGCUAAUUGUAUAGGAAUAGGAGAGUGAGAAAGUUUGUAUAGAAUUAAAGUAAUUAGACCGCUCAUUAGUCCAUUUAGGUUUAGGACCGCUUUUAGUGCAUGAUGAUGGACAGCUUAUGUGGUCAUCAUAGUGAACCGCUUAUAUGGUAGUCAUGUGGAUCGCUCAUAUGGACAUGUCCAUAUGAGCGGCCCAUAACUUCUAUAUAAGUGGUCCUAAUGAGCGAUCCAUAUAGUUCCAGAUUACGUAUGUGUGUGUGAAAAGGCGAAGCUCUGUCCGUUUGUCUCCACAUUCUUGUAACUUGUUAGCGGAUCAAUAAAGGAGACAGUUACAUAGUGAAAUCAAGCUUUACGAAGACUAAUUCAAUGAAUUCCGCCUCUGAACUAGUCUAAGUGCUCUUCUGAUCGACUCAUCGGGUCAGCAAACGAUCCUACAGUUUUGGCGUUUUUAUUGUUUUUAAAUCAGGAUGCAUGUCUAUGAUGUAAAAAACAUCAGUAAUUUUCUUGAUGUUUAUUAUAUCAAGUAGGAUACAGGUCUAUAAUGUGACAGACAAUUAUGACGUUUUGAAAAGGUAAAUAAAUUCAGUUUUCCAUGUAGUGGCUUUUAAUAUAAUAAAUGUUUGGCAAUAAUGUUACCGUCUUUUCAUUUUACUGUUUAGCAAUUACUGUUUCGUUCAAUUUCAUCUGUGAAUUAGUGUUGAUUUUUCAGUAAUACCUUGUUUGGCGUUUUUGGCAUUUUAUAGCAACAUCGUGCUUUGCUAGCAUCCGUUCUCUCAGUUUUCACACUAUCAGGCGUUUUGGUGUUUUUGGCGUUUUAUAUUAAUUUUUUUUGUAAGUAGAGAAUUAGAUAAUAAAAUCAGAGAAUUAGAUAACAAACAAUAGA
rnacentral:lncRNA from 1 species